rnacentral:lncRNA from 1 species
GUACCAAACACUGUGCGCGCAAACCCGAGCCUCGGGUUGACAAAAAACGGCACUUGAUACCGGUACAAACCCGAUGCUGUACCGGUACCACCUCCCAUUCCGGUACAAGCUCAAUGCUGUACCGGUACUCUGCUCUGCAGAGUCCAACCCGAGAUCAGCAUAAGUUCUUCGCUUUGGAGAUCUUAGUGCUAAGUUUUAAACCUCGAUUCUCGGCAUACGAGCCAUAGGUCGGAACAUUAUCAACGAUCCUCCAGAAAAUCUGAAAAAAAACUCGGAACACAGAUCAAACACUCGAACCUCGCAAUUGGCAAAGGUCCGGUGUGCUACAGUAUAGCUUUCUUACACUAGAUUAUUCCGCAAGGUCUAUGAACAGUUUCAGAUGGAAAUAUUACAAAAUGUGGUUGCAGUAAAUGGUGAUGAAAAUUUUCUGGCAUAUAUAGAUCUUCACAUCACUCGAAAUGAAUCAAUUACUGAAAUUAUUCACUGUUGGAGUACAAAAUCCUCU